UGUUUGUUUAUUGACUUGUACACGAGCUGUCAAAGUGUUAAUUGUUUAGUUCGGGAAGUUACAAUUGUGAGUGCAAGAAGAAUCCUGCCAUAAAUAUAGUAAAACAUGAGUCCGUCAAUAUUUCGCGCAACUUGAGAGGAAGGCUGAUGAAGUGUACUUGCCUUGGAAGAUGUUGCCCGGUAUUGGAGUAUUUGGAACGGGUAACGUUGUGCGAGUUAUUGUUCCAUUUUUGAGAGAAAAGGGCUUCAAGAUAGAAGCAAUAUGGGGUCGAACACUCACUGCUGCUGAAGAAGUAUCUAAGGAACUUGAGAUACCGUUUUACACUAACAAAAUCGAUGAUGUGCUGCUGCGAAAGGACGUUGAUCUUAUAUUUAUUAUGUGUUCACCAAACCUUCAUGCACAGAUUGCUGUUAAAGCUCUGGGUAUUGGGAAACAUGUGCUAUGUGACAAACCAACUGGGCUAUGUCAAAGCGAAGCAUUGAAGAUGGUACGAGCAGCACAGUAUUAUCCGUCGCUUAUUUCCAUUGUUAACCACAGCUUAAGAUUUCUUCCUGCAUUUUCCCAGAUGAAGAGAGCUAUUGCUGAUGGGUACCUAGGCAGUGAGAAUGAAAUAACCGUCUGCGACGUACGUGUGCAGAUGGGAAGCCUUCUUCACGAUGGUUAUGAUUGGUUAUGUGAUGAUACAAUGGGUGGAGGUAUAUUAACUCUUGUGGGUAGCCACGUAAUUGACCUUGUGUCACAUCUGACUGGUCAGAGGGCUUCACGUGUCCAUGGCCUUGUUCGAACUUUCACGAAGAACACAGAUUAUGUGCGUGGCAUAAGGCAGAUUUCAAGUCCAGACUUCUGUGCCUUUCAGAUGGAGAUGAGUGGUGGCACACUUGUCACUGCAACGCUUAACAAUCAUCUUCCAGGAACGUUUAGCCAGGAAGUUUUAGUUUGUGGGCGUGAAGGACAUUUAAUGGUGCGUGGUGGAGACUUGUAUGGGUACAAAUCCGGUGCAGCAAAGGAAGAAGUCAUAUAUUUGGACGUGGAAGAUUUGCAGCGUGGAGGCUCUAUUAAUGCUGCUGCAAUAAGUGUGAUUCCACGCCCAUACAUGAAAGGAUUAUUUAAGAUGAUUAGUGCUCUUAGAGAAGCAUUUCUGCCUGUUGAAGACAAGAGUGGAUGGGUGAAGGAACCCGUUGCACUGGCAGCAACAUUUGAAGAUGGUUUGUAUGUGCAAGCGGUCAUAGAUGCGCUACGGAAAUCUAGCGCAAACCGUGAAUGGGUAAAGGUGAAUGUUAUUACAGAGGAACCAGAUCCAAACCCACUAUUGAGUGCUGCUGUGCGGCGUAGUGCCAUAUCCAUGUGACAUACAGAUAACCUGCUGUAAAAUAACUUCAGUACUAAUGUCUGCUUAGCUAACAGGUUACAGUGCCAAACAUUUCUUGAGAAGUACAAAAAAGAACUACAUUUUGCUGAGUUAUUACUGAAUUUGAUUUCACCUUUUUUUCUCACCCUGUGUUGUAUUCUGUGCUUCUAAACAUAGUUGAAGUUGAAAGAAAUUUAUAUGAUUUUUUGCCUGUGAUGAGAAUGACUGGCAUUUGUGUAAGGAUGUUGUCUAUAAUGAUGAACAUUUGGACAGGGUUGUGAAAAAUACCUUUGUUAAUAAACAUAGCGAAAAUAAAUGCAAGAAAAUA